GAUGCACCUGGUGGCACACCUGUUAUGCAACAGCCUUUACAGAAAGACAAGCCACAGAGACGCAAGCUUGGCCCAGAAAAUCGCUUGAAGGAUGAACGAGGUGGCCGUAGAGAUCGUGACAGUAGAGCAAAUGGCAGUGAAAGAUAUGAUAGGUCUGAAAACCUUCAGUCCGGUGACUUUCAAGCCAACACUGAUGGGCCUGAGGGAGGGAAUCAUGAUGAUCCAAUGUAUGAUAAUUUUGGUGCACAAGGCAUGCGUGUACCUCCUUUCCCAU
rnacentral:misc_RNA from 1 species